rnacentral:rRNA from 1 species
GAUGAACGCUAGCGGCAGGCUUAACACAUGCAAGUCGAGGGGUAGAGGAAGCUUGCUUCCUUGAGACCGGCGCACGGGUGCGUAACGCGUAUGCAACCUACCUUUUACAGAGGGAUAGCCCAGAGAAAUUUGGAUUAAUACCUCAUGGUAUAUAUCAUUCGCACGUUUGAUAUAUUAAAGUUCCAACGGUAAAAGAUGGGCAUGCGUCCUAUUAGCUAGAUGGUAAGGUAACGGCUUACCAUGGCAACGAUAGGUAGGGGUCAUGAGAGGGAGAUCCCUCACACUGGUACUGAGACACGGACCAGACUCCUACGGGAGGCAGCAGUGAGGAAUAUUGGACAAUGGGCGCAAGCCUGAUCCAGCCAUGCCGCGUGCAGGAAGAAGCAUCUAUGGUGUGUAAACUGCUUUUGUACGGGAAGAAACACUCCUUCGUGAAGGAGCUUGACGGUACCGUAAGAAUAAGGAUCGGCUAACUCCGUGCCAGCAGCCGCGGUAACAC